UCGAGAAUCUUCCGCAAUGGGCGAAAGCCUGACGGAGCGACACCGCGUGAUGGAUGAAGUCCCUCUGGGACGUAAACAUCUUUUAUGAGGGAGAAAGUUUAUUGAUAGUACCUCACGAAUAAGGGGUUGCUAAACUCGUGCCAGCAGCAGCGGUAAUACGAGUGCCCCGAGCGUUGUUCGGAUUUACUGGGCGUAAAGAGUCUGUAGGCGGUGGGGUAAGUCAGAUGUGAAAUCCCGGGGCUCAACCCCGGAACUGCAUCCGAUACUGCCUUACUUGAGGGUCGGAGGGGAGUCUGGAAUUCUCGGUGUAGCAGUGAAAUGCGUAGAUAUCAUGGGGAACACCAAAAGCGAAGGCAGUACAUUGGGCCACUCCUGACACUGAAACACGAAAGCGUAGGUAGCGAAUGGGAUUAGAUACCCUUGUAGUCCCUGAGCGGGCUGGCAAGGCGCAU
rnacentral:rRNA from 1 species